AUCAUUGUCGAGACCUGUAAAUCGAACCGCGAACAUGUGUAUGUAAAUCCGCCUGCUAGACGCUCGCGUUUAGCGGGCUCACGAACCCCGGCGCGGCAUGCGCCAAGGAAAACUUAAAGGAAGUGCCGCCCCCCAUGAAGCCCGUUCGCGGUGCGUUAUGGGUAGGCGACGUCUCUCAAUUGUCUAAACGACUCUCGGCAACGGAUAUCUCGGCUCUCGCAUCGAUGAAGAACGUAGCGAAAUGCGAUACUUGGUGUGAAUUGCAGAAUCCCGUGAACCAUCGAGUCUUUGAACGCAAGUUGCGCCCGAAGCCUUCUGGCUGAGGGCACGCCUGCCUGGGCGUCACGCAUCGCGUCGCCCCCACCUAAAUCCCCCAGGAUUUAUGAGUGGGAGCGGAAAAUGGUCUCCCGUGUGCCUUUGUGCUCGUGGCUGGCCAAAAUGAGAUCCCGCAUCGAUGGAUGUCACGACCAGUGGUGGUUGAAAACUCAAUCGUGCAUCUCCGCAUCGUUUGCCAGGCAUCUAUUUGACAAAACGGUGCUUCGUGUGCCUCCGACCGCGACCCCAGGUCAGGCGGGAC
rnacentral:rRNA from 1 species